rnacentral:rRNA from 1 species
UACGUAGGGGGCAAGCGUUGUCCGGAAUUAUUGGGCGUAAAGAGCGUGUAGGCGGUCCGGUAAGUCAGCUGUGAAAGUCAAGGGCUCAACCCUUGAAUGCCGGCGGAUACUGUCGGGCUAGAGUCCGGAAGAGGCGAGUGGAACUCCCGGUGUAGCGGUGAAAUGCGCAGAUAUCGGGAGGAACACCUAUGGCGAAGGCAGCUCGCUGGGACGGUACUGACGCUGAGACGCGAAAGCGUGGGGAGCAAACGGG